GGGGAAUAUUGGACAAUGGGGGAAACCCUGAUCCAGCAAUGCCGCGUGUGUGAAGAAGGCCUGCGGGUUGUAAAGCACUUUCGGUGGGGAGGAAAAGCUGAGAGCUAAUACCUUUCAGUGUUGACGUUACCCAAAGAAGAAGCACCGGCUAACUCUGUGCCAGCAGCCGCGGUAAUACAGAGGGUGCAAGCGUUAAUCGGAAUUACUGGGCGUAAAGCGCACGUAGGUGGUUUGAUAAGUCGGAUGUGAAAUCCCUGGGCUCAACCUAGGAAUUGCAUUCGAUACUGUCUGACUAGAGUAUGGUAGAGGGGGGUAGAAUUCCCGGUGUAGCGGUGAAAUGCGUAGAUAUCGGGAGGAAUACCAGUGGCGAAGGCGGCCCCCUGGACCAAUACUGACACUGAGGUGCGAAAGCGUGGGUAGCAAAC
rnacentral:rRNA from 1 species